rnacentral:rRNA from 1 species
UACGUAGGGUGCAAGCGUUAAUCGGAAUUACCGGGCGUAAAGCGUGCGCAGGCGGUUAUGCAAGACAGAUGUGAAAUCCCCCGGGCUUAACCUGGGAACCGCAUUUGUGACUGCAUAGCUGGAGUACGGCAGAGGGGGAUGGAAUUCCGCGUGUAGCAGUGAAAUGCGUAGAGAUGUGGAGGAACACCGAUGGCGAAGGCAGCCCCCCUGGGUCAAGAUUGACGCUCAUGCACGAAAGCGUGGGGAGAAAACAGG